rnacentral:rRNA from 1 species
CCUACGGGGGGCAGCAGUGAGGAAUAUUGGUCAAUGGCCGUAAGGCUGAACCAGCCAAGCCGCGUGAAGGAAGAAGGAUCUAUGGUUUGUAAACUUCUUUUAUAGGAGAGUAAAGGUAUCUACGUGUGGAUAUUUGCAUGUAACCUACGAAUAAGCAUCGGCUAACUCCGUGCCAGCAGCCGCGGUAAUACGGAGGAUGCAAUCGUUAUCCGGAUUUAGUGGGUUUAAAGGGUGCGUAGGUUGUUUUUUAAGUUAGCGGUGAAAGCUUGGAGCUCAACUAUGGAAUUGCCGUUGAAACUGGGAGUCUUGAGAGUGUAUGAGGUAGGCGGAAUGCGUGGUGUAGCGGUGAAAUGCAUAGAUAUCACGCAGAACUCCGAUUGCGAAGGCAGCUUACUAAGCCAUAACUGACGCUGAGGCACGAAAGCGUGGGGAUCAAACAGGAUUAGAUACCCCUGUAGUC